GGAAAUCCUUUUUGGAAGGCUGCUUUAGCUAUCGAGUCGUUGCAUCCGACUAUUUUUGCCUUCUCUACUUUGAACCUCCUCACAUAGUCGUGAAGAGACUCCUUUGGGUUCUUCUUGACGUCGAACAAAUGGUCAGACUUCUUUUUGAUCGAGUGAUAAGAUGAAUAUUCUUUGGUGAAAACCAAAGAAAGUUAGUAAAAAUUCCGGAUGGAUUGUGGCAGCAAGGUGUAAAACCAAUCUUGCGCCUCAUCUUGUAGAGUGGUGGUUGAUCGGAUCAUAUUUAUAUAUAUUUUUACUUCAAAUUCACUCGUCUUUUCUUAGUUAGUUCUUUAUAUUUUGAGCUAUUUACGUUAUUUUUGUGUUUAUAGGAUUUGUUAUGCAAAGAAAAUAAAAAUGGCAAAAAUGAGUUUUAAAUAAUAAACAGAAUAGUUACUUCGAACAUUAUGAUUUUUUUUAGAUCAAUUAAUUUAGUUUAUUCAUUGCGAUUAUAAUUGAACUAAAUCUCUGUCCUUAAAUCUAUGCAGAAUGUAUAUAUGCAUCACGGUAUUGAUUUUUCCAAUAUCUGUUUACCAAGCAUGGCUUUUCAAUUAGACAACAAAAGAAUCCACAGCCAAAGGGGGGAGACGGAAAGAUAAGGCGGUCUGGGGAGCGAGAGAAGGGAGCUGCCCUUUGGGCAGCUCGCAGAGACGCAGGAAGAGGACCGAGAGGAGAGUGCUGC
rnacentral:lncRNA from 1 species